GGCCGCAUGGCGUAGUGGUUAAGUGCUUGCACUGUCACUCAUGCGGUCAGGAGUUCGAGCCCCCUGUGGGUCA
rnacentral:tRNA from 1 species